rnacentral:lncRNA from 1 species
ACACGAGGUGACGUGAUAACUGAUGGACGUGAUUAACGAAUGGCUGAUAAGAUAAUUGUGAUGCGAUGGCAGGACAAAGACUGAAGGCACGCCAAUCAAGGGACAAUGCAUGCCUCCUAAACAGUGGUAGCUCAUCGACUAAACAGUGGUGCAUGCCCCCCAAGACGAAGUGACAUUGCCCAAGGGGCAGCGCAUUGCCCAAGACUGCCAUGUGCGCAUAAAGGCGCUCACAUGCAUGUGGAGCCACACUCAAAUUGUGCGCCUCGCACUCGACACAAAUGGGACGUGCACGUAGGUGCUGGUUCGGUUAGCCUCAUGUACGUGUGUGCGUGGUGUGCAGGUCUACACAAGAAGGGGAAAAAUUUCUCGCAGCCUUUUAGUGGGAUUUCUUUGUCGUUUUCCUUCUUUAUUUUCCCU